rnacentral:ncRNA from 1 species
UUUCCCUCAGGAUAGCUGGCAUUCUGGGAAACAAACAGUUUUAUCCGGUAAAGCGAAUGAUUAGAGGCAUUGGGGGCGAAACGUCCUCAACCUAUUCUCAAACUUUAAAUGGGUGAGAAGCUUGACUCGCUUAAACGGAGUCGGGCCUUGAAUGUGAGUGCCAAGUGGGCCAUUUUUGGUAAGCAGAACUGGCGCUGUGGGAUGAACCA